CGAAAUAUAGCGCAGUGGUAGCGCGUCUGUUUUGGGAACAGAAUGGCAUGUGUUCAAUUCACAUUGUUUCGA
rnacentral:tRNA from 1 species